rnacentral:rRNA from 1 species
UACAGAGGGUGCAAGCGUUAAUCGGAAUUACUGGGCGUAAAGGGUGCGUAGGUGGUUAUGUAAGUUAGGUGUGAAAGUCCCGGGCUCAACCUGGGGAUUGCGCUUAAUACUGUGUAACUAGAGUACUGUAGAGGGAAGUGGAAUUUCCGGUGUAGCGGUGAAAUGCGUAGAUAUCGGAAGGAACACCAGUGGCGAAGGCGACUUCCUGGACAGAUACUGACACUGAGGCACGAAAGCAUGGGGAGCAAACAGG